UACGUAGGGUGCAGGCGUUAAUCGGAAUUACUGGGCGUAAAGCGUGCGCAGGCGGUUUGCUAAGACAGGUGUGAAAUCCCCGGGCUUAACCUGGGAACUGCGCUUGUUACUGGCAGGCUUGAGUGUGGCAGAGGGGGGUGGAAUUCCACGUGUAGCAGUGAAAUGCGUAGAGAUGUGGAGGAACACCGAUGGCGAAGGCAGCCCCCUGGGCUAACACUGACGCUCAUGCACGAAAGCGUGGGGAGCGAACCGG
rnacentral:rRNA from 1 species